GGAUUUAGCUUUAAUCAACAUGCAGCUUUUCAUUUCUCAAGACAUUAUUUGAUGGACUGGAGUGCUGUGGAUUAUUGUGAUGUUUUUAUCAGCUGUUUGGACUCUCAUUCUGACGGCACCCAUUCACUGCAGAGCACCCAUUGCUGAGACACUGAUGCAAUGCUACAUUUCUACAAACCUGAUGAAGAAACAAACUCAUCCACAUCUCAGAUGGUCUGAGGGAAAUUACAUCAUUAUGCAGGGAAAACAGCAGCACAAACAUCAUCAGUAAGUAUUAUCAAAGG
ensembl:lncRNA